GAGCUAGCAUCACUCAUAUGUUAAUUAAUGGCUAAAUUACAGUUGCGGUUCUCAAAUUAUGAGUGGUGUGACACUUGAAUCCUCAAACUAUAAUUUAUAUUAGGUUUUGGCUAAAACUUUCUAAGAUGUUGUAAUUAAAAUUUUACAUUCCAAUUCAGUUGACUAUAUAAUGGUGUAUUGCUGAUAUAAUAGUGAUUUGAUAGUUCAUCAACCGCAUCAUCACUAUAUUAAUAUCACAUUAUCAACACGUCACUAUUUAGUAAAAUAAAUUAUACUGCGAGAUUUAAUUACAACAAUUUAAAAGUUCAAGUCAGAAAUUAUUAUAAUUUAAAAUUUGAGUAUUAAAGUGUCUCCUAACUC
rnacentral:lncRNA from 1 species